GAUGAAGAACGUAGCAAAAUGCGAUAAGUAAUGUGAAUUGCAGAAUUCAGUGAAUCAUCGAAUCUUUGAACGCACAUUGCGCCCGCUGGUAUUCCGGCGGGCAUGCCUGUUCGAGCGUCAUUUCAACCCUCAAGCCCCCGGGUUUGGUGUUGGGGAUCGGCUCUGCCCUUCUGGGCGUUGCCGCCCCCGAAAUACAUUGGCGGUCUCGCUGCAGCCUCCAUUGCGUAGUAGCUAACACCUCGCAACUGGAACGCGGCGCGGCCAUGCCGUAAAACCCCAACUUCUGAAUGUUGACCUCGGAUCAGGUAGGAAUACCCGCUGAACUUAAGCAUAUCAAUAAGCGGAGGA
rnacentral:misc_RNA from 1 species